AUCUGCGUGAAAAUUCUUUUGUCUUUUUGCUCGCUGCGUGAAAGUUACUCGUGCGCUGUGUUGUUUCAUUUAAGGGUGUACAAUCAUCCUGACUUGGAUACGGCUCAUGUGAGUGUCAUGACUCUCUCCGUCGCCUCAAGCAGAUGCACGCGCAACAGCAUGUAAAACUAUGCAUGUGUAUUAUCACAAGCACGGUACUACGUCAUAAAUCCUAUUCGUUUUGCAUAGGUCGGUUUAAAUGCACACAUUGAGCGCACCACGCAGUUCGCCCUGGCUACGGCAAACGCUCUCACUUCGCCCGUUAUGCAUCGUUGCUCAGAGAGAUUGAUUCUCUCGCAACCCGCCUGAGGCAUACGUAAAGCUGCGAAGGGUGGAACCCACAACAUGUUUGUCAUACCAGGCGUGACAUGCUAGCUGGUUCGUAUCACCUUGGGAAGGGUGACUCCAGAAAGCGGUUCAAGUGAUUGUCUCGUGAUGGUCGCGAUUAUUCGCAAAACUGCUUUCAAGUUCCGCGAAAUUCAAAUAAAGUUCUAAAUAAACAUUCUGGCUGAUUAAGAGGCUAACGAUGUGCCUUGCUGCUCCAAGUGUUCAAUCAAGUAUUUAUCCAUGAAUUCCUUCCACUCCACAGGAACUUCUCUAAUACCCUCUAAUUGCCAACAAAUCCUAAGAUUUUCUGCGAUUCCUCCAAAGAUUCCUGUAUUUAAGAGUUCCACUAAGGAUACUUUGUAACUGCCGACUAGCUCAGUAGGGGAGCCUUCCUGAGACUCCCUGAAACAAAACCUCAGGGUCGGCAUGCUUCUCGACCAGUUAUUCGCGGGCAGGGAAUCUUCGCACUGUCGUACAUAAAAACUCACGUCACGUUACAUUUACACAUUUAUUCCCGGAAUUUUCCGGCCUCUUCUUCUUCUACCACUUUCCUCUUUCCCACAUUCUUAUAGUCUAAUCUAACCUGUUCUUUCACUUCUUCGGGGCCCCGUCUUCUACCUUCCACCACCACACAGCGUACACCUUCAGGUCUUCAUCGAUGGCGGCGUGCACAGCUAGUGUCUGCCGGUUCUUCUGCGGCCUUACGGGGUGGCGAAGCAAGUCGAUGGCAGCAUUCGCAGGCCCUUCUGGGUGUCCGGCGUUCGAGUAUGUUGACGGACUCGGAACUCUCCGGAUCAUCCCAACGUAGGGGGGGGGGGUGAUUUGAAUCUUCUACAGAACCGUAGUUCUGUCCCAAAACAGCGGGGUUCUGCUGUCCUUCGCUUCACUUCUUUCUGUCUUCCACUUCUCUGGUGGUUCUUUUGCGACUCUUUAAGAAUUAUGGAGUCGAGUGUAGAUGGUUCACUGGCCUCCAGUAUUCGGACAGUGACCCAAGGCAUUCUAUUGUCGUUUGUAGUGCCCGUUAGCCCGUUCGUGUGCAUAUCUCCUUCCAUCUUGGUUCAGCAUCUGCCACCCCUUUUAGGCUACCAAAAAGGACUUCGUUUUCCCUCUGGUGGUGGGUUUCGGAAGUAGCGUGGAAGGUGGCGUAGUACGGUAGUCUACUAAACUAUGGACUAGACUAACAGUAACUGACGGAGAAAACUGCACAACACAUACGAACACUACCUGCACUAUUUUAUAUUAAACACGAUAUACAAUCAACACAAAAUCUCAAAAACACUCCACACUAAACUGUGAACACUUACACUCUCCCCCAGCUCGGGUAAAAAAUAUUUACAAAGUAAAUAUUUUUUCCACAGAUUACACUAGACUUCCCCGGUUACACGUACCUCUGAACCUACCAACACAAACCACUCAACAUCAGAACAAAUUCACUUCAACCGACGGUAGUUCACAAAACACUUGACUCGAAACGUACUAGAUUAAGUCAUACAGAAAUACAUCAAUGAAACACAUUGUAAAGGACCAGUAAGUACGUUUACAGAGUAUCGGGGUCAUAGGUUUUCAUCGUUGUUACCAACUCCUCACAAUUUAGAGAUUAACUCUGUACUGACCGUCAACGCGAUUGCUCUGGUCUCCAGCGAUCAAAUGCGCAAACCUUGAGCUUGGCAACCUCUUCCAAUACUUACAUUUUGUCCAUACGAUUGUUUAAAAAGCUUUCUUCACGACGAAACAAAUGACAAUGCUCUAUUUACACUACGUAUUUACAUUAUUUACAAGUAUUUACAGAUUAAAAUUUCAUUCAACAAAGCUACGGUAUAGUACGGUAAAAUGGUGCUUUGAAAUGUUUCACCGGUUUGUCGGAGUUGUGAUCGUUCUAGUACUACUUGUUUCGAAUUCCAUUCGAACAAUAGUCUAUUGGUGUGCGUUUGUAUUGAGAUGAUUUCGAACUGUCAAACUACUAAUUACACUAGUUUACAGCAUUUUUGAACUCGGUAAGCUGAUGAUCAUUUUUGGUGUAGAAUCAUGCCCUGAGUUUGAAAACGCGAAGGAAAAAAACUACAGUAGAGCGGAAAUUUUUUCGACCUUCCAUACAAGGUUGAUGAUUUGAAAACGAUUUUUGUUCUAUUUUUAAGCAACGUCGCUCACUUCACACACCUCAUUCUCCGUAAUCAAUGCUCCGAUUGAGCUGAAUUUUUUACUGUAACUCGCCUACAUAUGAUAUGUCAAAUAAACGUUGAGAAACAAUUUUUAGAACGAUUUUUUCUUAUUAAAAAAAAUACAUUUCUUCACAUAUUUUUGGAAAUUUAGCUAAAAUUUAAGGAGAUCGUCCCUAAAACUCGCCAAUAUCUUGAAUUUCAUCAAUCUGACGCAAAACCUGCAUUCAGAUGAUCGAAUGGUAUUGUAUUCAGCUUUUAAUUUAUGGAAAAAGAUUUGAAAUUGGUUGAACAAAACGCAAGAUAUUUGAAUUUUGAUUAAUUCCAUAAUUUUAAAAAUUGUAAAACUCAAUAUUAAGCUAAAACAUAAAAACUGCUCUACUUAAAAUUUUUUGAAGCACGGAUUCGAAAUCAGUGCUAAAUUGUACUUCAAAAAUGUUGGUCGUUGACAGAAGUUCACAACUUUCGUUUUAUUUUGUAAACUAGUGUUAUUGUGCAAUGUUAUGGUGAUGAAAUAUGAUCAACAUGAGGUAAGUACGAUGAAUUUUAAUUCAAGAAUUAUUUCUUAGCCGGCGAGUGAAAAAUCCCCGUAGAUUGAUGGCCAAAACAAAUCCGGAAAUGGAUCUUCACUGCAAAAGAUAAAAUUCUUGAAUCAGAAUCCAUCAAAUACAAUGAUUUGAGAAUUUUCAUUAAAAGUGAGGUUAUACUGCAUGAAUCUAUUAGGCAAAAGAGAUAAUUGAAUUGAUUGCUUUAAUGAUUCAAUGAACUAUGAUUAUUUUCAUUCUUUGGUCUGUGAUUUCACUAUUAGUUUUCACCUUAUUUUCUUUUUUUUCUGAACUAAGUGAAUUCCUAUGGCUAACAACUACGAAACAAAAUUAUAAAAAUCAAGAUAAAUUUUACAAACGUUACAACAUGCAAAAACAAAUUAAAAUAUUGGAAUGGCCAUCAUGCAAAAUAUAUACAAAAAUUUACAAGGAAAUCCUUUUCAAUUUAGGUUGAUUUAGCGAGAAUUUGGUGUUAAGAAGUUCUCCUAGACAAAGCUUUUAACAGGAGGUACUCCGCAACCAAAUCUCAUUCAACACAAUUAUACACGCACUUAAUGCUUUUCGCUUUCAGCUACUACUACCAUUCACUUAACGCUUCUCCAUUCAGAUUUUUGCUAAGUCUGAUUAGAUAAUUGUUGACAAUCAGACUAGCUACUGAAAAUGAGAUAUCCAGCGCAUCAUUCUGUCUCACUUCCACUAUGGGUACAAAGUGAUCAGACAUUCAAAAUACAUGGGCCCAUUAAUCACAUAUUAAAAUCUUCCUAGGUGUUUCUCCAAUUACUGCCUCCGCAGCUUCGACACAAGAUGACGUCCCCUAGACCAAGCAUCCGAAGAGUAGCUCGUACGAGGACUGGAUGGAAUAGUGUCUCUAGAUGCAGUAUUUACAGAGGUAACUAUCCAUUCCAGUUGUACUGACCCUUCGCUCCACACUUGCCUAUUUAUCCAUCUUUCUCUUUUUUAGGAAAUCUAGUCUCCCUACAGACGAUCCUUCCUGUUUUGAGUGACCAGGCACUCGUGUGGCCUCACCGUCUCACUUGUGCUCAUUCAACUGAACGAUGACAAUACGAGUAAUCACCGACUCAGGACGUUUUCUGCACGCCAAUUCGCAAUGGAAUUAGAAUUUAAAAAGAACUAUUUACGAGCUAAAAGUAUCACAGAUUAGAAUUUGAUAACCUAGUAAAUUGAAAAAUGCUAUAAAAUUUGAAAACCUAGUAAAUUUGAAAAUCCUAUUUGCACACGCUUCAAAAGAAACACACAAAAUUUGUUGUAAAUAAAAAUUAUCGUUCUUUUUAGCCUUUUCAUUUCACACAUAUCCGAAAUCACAUCACAACACACUAAAAUUGUUUCAAACAAAAGUAAAAAGUUAAAAAUGACUAGUAUUGAUAUCUAAUGUUCUUUUUGAACAAUCGUUUUUCUUAUGUUCAUUGUGUUUCUGGACAACAAAACCCCUUCGUCGCAAAUAAAAUGAUUUUGCGAACUGUGUUAGAAGAAAGAGUAAGUCCAAAUGUGGUAAGUUAAAUUCGUGAAGGCCUGGAAGUUUUACCAGAGACCUCCGUCGAAACCAGUUCAAUCCAGUGCGAUCUUCCGAACUGACCCUUCCAAAAUCUGUCAAGAAGACGAUUUUAAGUUGGGCGCCAAAGUGUAACUGCCGACUAGCUCAGUAGGGGAGCCUUCCUGAGACUCCCUGAAACAAAACCUCAGGGUCGGCAUGCUUCUCGACCAGUUAUUCGCGGGCAGGGAAUCUUCGCACUGUCGUACAUAAAAACUCACGUCACGUUACAUUUACACAUUUAUUCCCGGAAUUUUCCGGCCUCUUCUUCUUCUACCACUUUCCUCUUUCCCACAUUCUUAUAGUCUAAUCUAACCUGUUCUUUCACUUCUUCGGGGCCCCGUCUUCUACCUUCCACCACCACACAGCGUACACCUUCAGGUCUUCAUCGAUGGCGGCGUGCACAGCUAGUGUCUGCCGGUUCUUCUGCGGCCUUACGGGGUGGCGAAGCAAGUCGAUGGCAGCAUUCGCAGGCCCUUCUGGGUGUCCGGCGGUCGAGUAUGUUGACGGACUCGGAACUCUCCGGAUCAUCCCAACGUAGGGGGGGGGGGGUGAUUUGAAUCUUCUACAGAACCGUAGUUCUGUCCCAAAACAGCGGGGUUCUGCUGUCCUUCGCUUCACUUCUUUCUGUCUUCCACUUCUCUAUCUUUGCUUCAGAGGUACAGCACUUAAAACUGUUUUCUCAACCAUUUUGGUUGGUGAUUCUUUUGCGACUCUUUAAGGGGCCAUCCAUUAAGUACGUCACGGUACUAGGGGGGAGGGGGGGUUUGUGAAAGUGUGACAAGCAAUGUAUUAAGUAUAGGAAAAACCCGUACGAAGGGGGGGGGGGGGUCGAAAAUUCCCGAUUUUAGCGUGACGUACUUAAUGGAUGCUCCCUAAGAAUUAUGGAGUCGAGUGUAGAUGGUUCACUAACCUCCAGUAUUCGGACAGUGACCCAAGGCAUUCUAUUGUCGUUUGUCGUGCCCGUUAGCCCGUUCGUGUGCAUAUCUCCUUCCAUCUUGGUUCAGCAUCUGCCACCCCUUUUAGGCUACCAAAAAGGACUUCGUUUUCCCUCUGGUGGUGGGUUUCGGAAGUAGCGUGGAUGGUGGCGUAGUACGGUAGUCUACUAAACUAUGGACUAGACUAACAGUAACUGACGGAGAAAACUGCACAACACAUACGAACACUACCUGCACUAUUUUAUAUUAAACACGAUAUACAAUCAACACAAAAUCUCAAAAACACUCCACACAAAACUGCGAACACUUACAACUUUUAGUAAUGUCUCCAAACAUGCAAAAAUGGCCUGAAGUAUUGCUUUUUCAACCUAGAUGCAUAGAUGUCUGAAUAUCAAGUUGAAUAGAAUAUUGUUCAUCUGUGUAACCAACCUUAAAACAUACCAAAACAAACCUUCAUGUAGAAUCAACUAAAUUGAGAGCUUGACCUAAGCAAGUUUUCAUAGAGUCCACGUCGCUUCUUCAGCCUCAAUUCAGGCUUAGUUCAACUUAUGUUCUUGAUUAUUCAGACGCAACAAGUAAUGCUUUCGUUUUCGAGGAUAUGUAUACAAUUGUGUGUAGUAUAGGUGCUAAGAUGAGUGACUAUAAAUCAGGAGGUUCGAGUUCAAUUCCGUACUCGUAUAUAAGAUCAAGGGAACAUUAUUGAUUACUUAUUAAGCGCAUAUUGAGCCUUAAAACAGCCUUUCAAUGAACCUUAAAUCAGCUUAAAUCAAAUCUACUUCUUGAGCUCAGCUUUUGUUCAAACGAAGGCUGCUUCAAAAUAGUUGGAACAAACGUUUGUUCAGCAUCAAAUGGUUACCUGGGUUCUGGCUGCUUAGGUGGCUAACGAUAGACCUUGCAAGUUUCGCCCAGGAUCACCGUUAGCCUCUUAUGCAGCUUGAAAGCUGCUUAAGAUGCUACUCGGAACGUUGUCGGAACUUUCAAGUUCAUAGAAGAUCAUUUCAGUAGCAUUGUGUGUUUCAAUGUAGAUUAAAUGUAAUUUUUUCAGAAAAAAAUACACGAAUAAAAAACAAUCUCCCACCGGAUCUGAACUGAUGGUCGCUGCGUGAGAGCCGUACGCUCUACCACAUUACUACAGUCACUUUUGAAUUAACAACGGGUGAUGUCUGGCUUGAAACGAUUUUCUGUCGGCAGCUAGUUUUGCACACUUGUACAGCAGCGAAGUUAGCUUGACUUUGUCAAGUGUGAAUGAAAAUACAUUUAUCAGAAGCAUUUUCAGGCAUGAAUCACAUGGGUUAUAUAGCCAGGCUCUGGACACGAACUUCAUGAAAGAACGUGUUCAACCCUCACUUGGCCUCCCUGUUUCAUAGACAACGAACGGGAUCAUGAAAGCGACUUGGUACAACGAAUGGUGAUAGCGUUGCGGAGGGGGAGCCCAGUAGAAUAGAGACGCCAAUCAAUAAAAACGUACUUGGAGAGAACGCGUCACCGUGACGCGAGAAGUGAGAAGUGACACCGCUGAAAACCACUGCGAAAGAGAGAGUACUAGCGCUGAACUCGACCAGCAGCACUGUUCAAGAGUCGAGCUUAGUCGAGAAGAGGCGAAAGGUAAACGACCAGUACGAGUUUGUCUAAGACAAGCACAACGUGCUGCUGAACAUCAAGCAACUGGUGACGAGCAUCAAGACGGCCGUUUCAGCGGCGAAACGUGAUCAGAAGGCGCUCAGGUUUGGAGCGGAUACAGCCAAGGACUUUCUGACGGAAGCCUCGGUUGAACACCUGCAGACGCUGAAGAACCACCGGGAUACUCGUUUAGAGAAAAGAGGCAGGGACAUGCCUGGUGAAGGGGAAGUCCUAAAGAAACAGAAGAACCGAACUGGAGUGCGCUAAUAAUUGAAGAGAUGGUGAGUAGCACACUGGAGAGAGCCAGCAGGCGAAGAAGAAUUAGCGAAAGAAGAAGGAAGGGCGAUGCGUUGAUCGUCGAAACAAACUGUCCUCUGGAGCCGGCCUUCUGAUCUGAUACGAUCCAGAGUUGAAGGAGUUGGACGAGUACGUGGUGAAGACUCAAAAAGGUGAGAUCUUGGCGUUCAGGGAGCUUGUUGCGAAAUCCUUAGGUGCCAAGGCCAACGUGAGAGCUUUGUCACAGGGAGGCACCGGUGAGGUCAAGGAUCCGGACGAAGAGCUGAUGACGACAUUGUCCGAGCAGAGCAACUUAGGAGGAUUAAUGACAAUUCGGUUAAGGAAGUCGUAUGGGGGCAGCCAGGCAGCGGCAAUCUGAUUGCCUGUGGAUACUGCCAACAAACUUAUGGAAAUAGGCAAGAUCAAUGCCGGUCGAUGUGUUUGCUUAGACUGCUUCUCCAAACUAUCAAUUAAAUGGAGCAAUGCUCCCGAUGCAUGGAGUUUGUUUACCAGGGCCCCGACAGGUCCGGAUGGUGCUGGAGUUGCGGUGGAAACGGCCACGUUACUCGGGAAGCUAACCGAAAUGCAUGAUGUGCAAGCCGGAGGACGGCAAAAAUGAUUGAGAUAACCAAAAUCAGUUUCAAUCAUUGCGAAACGGCUCAGCAACUAUUGUGGUAGUCGACAAUAGAGACGAGUGUGAUGUUGCAAUUAUAGCAGAGCCUUAUCUGGAGACCCCACCCCACACUUCCCGGCAAUUGAGUAACGGAUAAAACCCUGAUAGUGGCGAUACAGGUCGUGGGUCGAUUCCGCAUACAAGAAGUGAUUGAGAACUUAUCAGAACGGUAUCUUCGUGUACAAGUGUAAUGCAACUCCAAGGUGGUCGGACGAAGUCCAGUAGUCAUUGCAGGCGAUUUCCACGCUUAGGCCGUGGAAUAGGGUUAACAGAGUUACCAAUGCAAGGGAGUACAGCCUACUGGAAGCCCUGGCGAAGCUGAACGUAAGGCUUUACAAUGAUAUGGCCAACACAUACCGUAGAGACGGUCACGAAUACAUCGUAGAUGUUACCUUGUGCAGUACGUCGCUAACGAAAGACAAGAAUUGCAUAGCCAGUGAGAAGUACUCCCACGGCAAUCACACAGGACGAUGCAGAGGAACCAACAGAAGUUGUAGUUACGGAUUGUGGCGCAGCAAUUCCGGAGAAGAAGGAAACCCAGCAGAAAAGGGCCCAAAAUAGGACCCCUGCCGAGAUGGUUCCACUUCCCUAUGUCUUACGAAUUCCCUUGGAAAACUGUUAGAGAGGAUCAUCCUGUUAACCUGUUAUGACAAAAUGUAUCACAAGCGAAAGGAGGCCGUCAGCAAUGCAGUUCGAAUUCUGCAAGGGAAAAAAUACCGUGGAUGCGAUUCGGAUAGUCAGUCAUUGAGUGGAGGAAUGGGAGACCACAAGCGUACUGGAGGACUCAAGCUAUUGCGGACCUGCAGGCAUGGUCUACGUGUUAGACUACGGAUGCAGAGAACACGUACUGACAAGGAGCUAAAUUAGCAACGGUAGUAUUCGGCUGCCACAGUCACGCUCAAGACCGAGAUAAGGGCAAGCAAAAAGGGUUGCUAUGAAGGUUUCUAUCAGAGUGUCAAUACGAACCCAUGGGGCCCUCUACAGGGUCGUGAUGGCUAAGACACAAGGUUCAAUGGCUCCAACUGAGCAGCCUUAGAAGAUUUUGGAAAGGAUCGCCGAUAGGCUCUUUCCGAGUCAGGAUUCGAGUCCUAGGCCUCCUUACGUAGGACCGCUGGGGACAUGCAAAGUCCUUUAGCGUAAGGGAGGCCCCAGUUUCCUUUCAGAGUUCCAACCUGGCCUUACAAAAGGACAUCGCAGGGGCUCCGGGGAUGUUCAGAUUUACUACGCAGAAAUUCUUAGACUAGUGAGUCUUCUAGAGGUAUUAAUGCCAAAGGCGGAGAAAGUACCCGGAGACUCGUCGGCAAAUGAUCGGCGGGGAAGGUGCACGAUAAGAUCGUCCUCGGCAGACUGUUCGAGAGUGUAGAUGGUCUCUCGAGAAACUAGUUUGGCUUCCGGAAGGGGAGGCCGAUCGUAGACGCAAAAAAGACCACCGAAAUAGCGCUCCAGCGUAAGAGGAGGGAAAUCCGUUGAUGUGCAGUACUGACCCUGGAUGUAAGAAAUGCGUUCAAUAGUGCCAGUUGACCAAUUAUUGCCGAUGUGCUCCUGCUUCUUAGAAUACACGGCUACUUGUACAAGAUUCUCAGAAGCAAGUUCCAGAAUCGAGUACUAGUUUACGAUACAGAGAUGGAUCGGAGAAAGUGCUUUUACAUAACCUCAUGCCUUCCACAAAGUUUAAUUCUGGGCCAGAUCUUAUGGAAUGUCUUGUACGACAAGGUGUUGAGGCUUCGCUGACGAUAUUACGCUGAAGGUCUACGGUGCAUCGAGGUUUGACCUUUAUGAUCAAAUGGCAGCUUGCGUGGGACUGUUUCACCAAAGGAAGGUGGACCCGCUGGUUGAUUCCAAGGGUAAAUAGGGGCGUCAUGUUAAAGUAACAUGCUACCUUAUUCAGGUCAACUAUCGGCCAUAUUGUCUCGAAGCUACAGGGGAGGUGGCGCAUGGAUCCAAGGAGUGGCUAAUUCAGGCGCUAAUCAAGAGGAAGUCAAAGGGCUCGGGGUCAGCUAUGCAGGUCACACUGGAGUCCUGUGGUGGAGCUCGAUCGUUCUGUCAAGCAAAUAUCCGUGCGGAAAACAUCCGAAUACCCUGUAAGAGAACCUGGGACUAGUUGUUGAAUCCCAAAAGUAAAUUUUGGUUUCUAGUGGAGGUUCGACUGUAUCGUUUCAACUAUCAUUAAAAACGGCUACGCAGUCUUGAAAUUAGCAAACGAUGUUUAUAACUUGCCCAACGUUUCGACACGGGGUUAGUGUCUUCUUCAGGGGGAACUAGAAUUCAAUACAUGUACUAAUUGGUUUGUUACAUAAUUUUGUCACGGUAAAUUUUGGUGAGAAAGUUGUUUCAGAAGAAAUUCAUGGCAGAUUUUCUGAUAAAAUCUCUCCAAGAUUUCCUGAAAAAAAACAGAGAAAAUUCGUUGACAUAAUUGCCGAUACUGUGAACAGCGGAAUUCAGAAAUCAGUUCAAGUCGUUUCACUUUCAAAAGGAACAUUUCACCCAGUUUUCCCACAAAUUUUCUGCUUUCCAAACUGAAGCUCUCAACUGAUCAUCACUUGUCCAUUUUCGAUGUUGGCACCGUCGCGUCGCCGCCAUCUGAUUCGCGAGGGGGGGGGCACUCUUACGUUGUGACUGGCACGGCGUCGCCUCAGUUUGAUUUUAUAAGCAACAAAUUUCACUUGUAUCUCACCCAACACUGCACCUGAGCCAGCAUGGGUACCGAUGGGUAAUUAAUGUUUCCUUUCGGUUUUGAAUGGCCGCAUGCAAAUGAUGAAAUCGAAUGAGAAAAAUCACAUCCACGGUUGAGAGUGAAUUUGUUUGAAACAAAAGCGUGGACCGUGAAGCUAUUUUUUGUCACACGUUUUCUGAAGAGAAUUUUCACACCUUGAUACGAAAGCAGUGAGUAGUUUGACUGCGAUAGAAAGUAACCUAGAUGUUAGCACAUCUUUCAGGUUGACCAUACUUAUUGAUUUAUCGAAAGCGUUCAGCUGCGUAACUCACUCAAGGAAUCAGAGUUCGGAUGACUUUUAUUGUUAUACAAAUGUUCUAGUGGCUGCACCAGUCUGGGAUUUGGAAUAACAGAUUUUCAAAUAAUUGAUUUCGAUAUUGGCGUAAUUCUGAUAGUUGAGUAGAGACAAGGUCUGAUAGUUACAUUGGCAAGUAUAAGUUGUGUUAGCUGACCAAAAGCGAUCUAGGAAGAUUGUUGGUGAGCUCGUUCCAUAUUAUUCGUAUUAUUUGUGAAUUAUAUUUAGGAUAAUAAGAUAUUGCAUUGUACUUGAGAACAAUUUCCGCUUCGUUGAAGGGUUAAAAAAGGAAUGGACAGAACUUUAAGUUUUGAUGAACACCAAGAAAUUUACAAAAUAUUCUAAUAUAUUUAUAACAAUUUUGAUCACUCAUGAAAUACAAAGAGAAUUCAAAUAAUGUGAUUUGCUAUUACUAGCGGAGACAUGUUUCGGUCAUCUUUUUGAAGAUGUAGAGUUGAACACGAUGUCCAAAGUAGUAAAUUUGGCGCACUAAUAUAACCUGUUUGAAUAUUUCACGAUCCGAUUUUUUCGAAACCUAACUUCACUUUCCACAACGAAUAGGCAAUGUAGAAAUCAGAUAAUUUUUAAGUGCUCCAACAAUGCCAAUACCCUUUUCGAAACAAAAAAUGCAGAAAGAGGUGCGAACGCCAUCGUUUCUUAACACCUCAAUCAGAGGCUGCCAGACUAUGCUUGUGAAAAUUUAAAUGUUCGACAAUUAAUUCCGAAACAGUUUCGAUCGCUCCUCCAAUCUCGAAUUGGAAAAUUGGCUUGCGCCGAAGGUUUUUAAACGUCUCCAAACCAAACUCCAAACGGCGUGCGCGGUGGGCCAAACUUUUCCCCUCCGGGUCGCCUUCCAUAAGAAAAACAAUUAAUGUCUGACGAUUGGCGGUGGUAAUCUACGGGUGGAAAGUUGCACUCUUGUUUUUGCAUCCACACCCAAUCCGAACGUUAUUGUUUCACGCUGAAAGCGAUUGAAAGCUGUUCAGAAGAAAAAAGCACCAUUGGAAAUGGUGCAGCGUUUCUCUCGUGAAUUUCGAGGUGGCUUUUUUGUGACCGAACGAUCGAACUGUUUGUGCGUAAUUUUCGAGUUAUAAAAUAGGAAGCUUGCAAUUUGAGCAAAAAUUGUUGAUUAAAUACUUGGUGGUUUGGCAUUGUGCAACAAACUACAGGCAUUGCUUUGAGAUGAUUGAAGAGUCGCUCAAAUUUUAAAGACUCUGAAACGCGUUGUUCGAAAGGUAGAAAAAAGGUCGCAAAGCCCUUUAACAACAAACAUACAUAACUCUUGAUAAUCCAGAUACAAGAAUUUUUUGUAGGAAAUUUCCGGAAAUGCUAUUCUUUUUUUCUCCAAAAUGUCGUUGAUAACUCUCUUAGCUGAUCAACUGAGAAGUUUAAUGCAGGAUUUAAACGGCUUCGCAGUCGUCAAAACGGAAAAACGAGGUUUAUUGUUUGCCCGACGUUUCGACACUGGGGUUUUGUGCCAUCUUCAGGGGUAACUAAUAGUUCGUUUUUGGUGUUAUGUUUCGUCUAACUGUAACUAUUUGGUUGAAGACUGCGUAGCCGUUCAAAUUGUGCAGUUGAUAACUGGAAUUAUUAUAAAAUACAGAACACAGACAAAAAGAUUUUAAUUCAGCUGAACAUUAAUCAGAAGAAAAUAUCACUAUCAUUAAAAAUAAAAAAUCUUGUAGUUUAAAACAUAAAUACUAAUAAUAUUCUGAAAACAUUCAAUCGAUCGCAAAACCAGGAAUUUCAGGAUGAAUUUGCUAAAUACAACUUGCUAUGAUCACCAAUCAUACACCUUGAACUCUUGUCCUAAUUUUCCAAACAAUAACAAGACCUACAUUUAAAACACCACAACAGGUCGUUUCGAAAGCCUCCCCUAUACUCUUGCCAAGACUUCAGAGCCUCUCGAAAGCAACUCUCUCGACCUAUUUUCCCUGGCCUCGUCAAUUAGAACCUCUCGAGCCGAAAUUCAGCCGACGUGCAACAGCCUGCGAAAAUAAUAAAUCCAACAGCAACACAAUUUGGCAGCAACUUUCAUUCAUUUAACACACAAUUGACGUACCUCCGAAACGACCGACAGGCUACAUGCAAGCUCAGACGAAACGAAAUAAAAACACUUUAGGUUUAACAACAGCCAGCAUCAACAGGAGAGUCCGACACCACUCACUCUCUGGAAAAAGACCAAGAUUGAUAGCUUGGACCAAGUUCGGGGGGCUCCCUUGCGAAGUUGCGGGUCGUCUCUUUCGGUGGUCAUUAGGGAGCAGCAGCAGCAACUACCUUUAACAACAGAAAAAAGAUCGUCGAACCAACAUAUUCCCUCCAGUAGUUGCUUUUCUCCACCGAUCCAUUCUUCUAUCAAUCUUCGCGAGGUUUCAAUUACGUAAAAAUGGGAUUUCAUUCGACGGAUGACGAUGGCGGCGCCGACUGUGCGUUGCGUUGGUUGCUUCAUUUCGAAGGUACCUAUGUACCUAAGAGAAGAGGUUGAACUGAACCUCGCUAUGCAAACUACAUAAAUCAGGCCGCACCGCCGACGUUUGGACAUAGUCAGCAGGGUAGAUCCCGCACAUCAACAGCAGUACCACUAUUUACUGCCACGGUAAUGAGCAGCAAAGUUCGUAAAGAAAAACACAAUGACUGAAAUACAUUUGACUAGGGAUUGACACAACGCGAUGUGUAUCAGUUCGCGGUUGGAUGCAAUAGUUGAUCAACAGAAUUUUCGGUAGACGUAAGUUUUUGAUGGAAUAACGUUUCUGGAGGUCUUCACAGCACCAAGUUUCAUGAUAAUUUGGAUCACCACAAAUAUAUUAUAAACAGGGCCUCGUAGCCUAAAUGUUUCCCUUUCGUUUCAUAACCCAUGGGUUCAAUUCCCAGCUCCAUCCUUGCCAAAACAACUGGGCUGCAAAAUGGUGACCAAAGUAACACUCUUGACAUAGAAAAGCCAAGUCCGUUGGCCUUACUUUGAAAAACACGAGCUACCGUCGUGACAUGUAUUGUUAUAUUCCAGUAAUCAAGGUGAAAACGCUCCCCGUCACAAAGGAGUAGGUAUCACACCCAGGCACAGGCGUAGGACAACCUAGGACUGUGGCUGACGAUGAUGAGAGGGAACUUGCGGGGAUAGCAAAGUUCCUUACCGUAGGUAAGGCCCCAGGUCCGGACGGAGUUCCGCACCUGGCCUUAAAAGUAGGUAUUGCAGAGGCUCCCGAGAUGUUCAGGUCUGCUAUGCAGAAAUACCUGGACGAAGGCAUUUUCCCAGAAGUAUGGAAGAGGCAGAGCCUGAGUCUAUUGCCAAAGCCACACGCAGACCCGUAGGCAUAUAGACCAAUAUGCUAGUACGGCUUCCGGAAGGGGAGGUCGACCGUAGACACUAUCCUGUCGGUUACAUAAACCACCAGGAUAGCGCUCCAGCGUAAGAGAAAGGGGAUUCACUACUUUGCAGUAGUCACUGGAUGUAAGGAACGCGUUCAAUAGCGAAAGUUGGUCAAUGGUCAGCUAUUGCCGAUGCCCUCCUGCGUCUGGGGAUACCCGGGUACCUGUACAAGAUUCUUGGAAGUUACUUCCAGAAUCGAGUACUGGUAUACGACACAGAGGUGGGUCGGAAGUGCUUUCACAGAACCUCAGGAGUCCCACAAGAUUCAAAGGUAUUGAGGUUAGAGUUGGCGGUGGUGGGUUACGCUGGAAGUCUACGGUGAACCGAUCGAAGAAGUGGAGUUGAGUACCACCCACUCGAUCAAGGUUGUGGAGGCGUGGAUGAGGUCCAAGAUACUGGAUUUGGCGAUUGCACUAUCACGUCGAAGCGCUCUGUCAAACAUUUGGGUGUGAUGAUCGACAAUAAGCUUAGCUUCGGUAGCCACUUUGAUUACACCUGUAAAAGAGUCUCCACAGCUAUAGUGGCACUGUCCCGGAUGAUGUUCAAUAGCUCUGCGGUGUACGCCAGUAAGCGCAAGCUUCUGGCUAGUGUCGCUACGUCCAAACUAAGGUAUAGCGGCCCGGUGUGGGGCACGGCGCUAAGUACCGAAAACUACUGUGACAAGCUGGAAAGUAUCAGUAUCAGCCUAUAAGAUGUGCCUGAGGGUUGCGAGCGCGUACCGUACCGUGUAACACGACGCACUCUGCAUCAUCACUGGUAUGGUGCCUAUUGGCAUCCUUAUCAGGGAGUACAAAGAGUGCUUCGAAAUGCGACUCAAGACUGCCAGGAUGGUCUCCAUUGUCAAAUGGCAGCGCAGGUGGGCCAGUUCCACCAAAGAAAGGAGGACCCACAGAUAGAUUACGAAUGUACAUAGAUAGUUGGAUUAACAGGCGCCAUGGGGAAGUAACAUUUCACCUGACUCAGGUUCUUUCAGGCCAUGGUUGCUUCCGACAGUAUCUACAUCGUUUCGGUCAAUGCGUGACCGCAUGUUAGCUACAUGCAAAGAGGACACACCUCCGGACAAUCUUGUCCAGAGGAAGCGUAGGGAUGGGUUUGGCUGGAAUACCGUUUCAACGGCUAUCACCCACAUCAUCUUGGAGCUACAGAGGAGGUGGCACGUGGACUCGGAGAAUGGUUAGUUCAGAUGCAGUACAAGAGGUGGUCCAGGGGUUCGGAGUCGGCUUCGUAGAUCAUGCAAGUGCCCUGCGGUCGAAAUCGACCCUUACAGCGAUUAAGUGGCCGCGGAGAGAACGUCCUGGUAGUGUUGCUGUCGUGGCGUCGGUCUACUGUGUUGGAUCCGAGCCUGCGGAUGGAAAGGGGUCCCUGGUAAAGGCCGGGGCAGAUGGAGUUCCUACUGUCAGCAACCUUCUGGUGUAGCUGAUAGGGCCUCAAGGGUAGUGCUACCUUUGCCUUCAGCAGGUCAGAUCUGGUUGCACGUAGGCAUCAGUUCUUGAUGCUUGCAAAACAGUUGGGCGCGGGCGUGGGGUCGACCCAGGGAGUGGAAAGGACUACUCGGGAAACUGGCUAAGCGCCAGCAUGCUAUCGUGAUGGACUCUACAAAGCGAGUCAUCGAUGUUCGUUAAUGCAGGCUACGCAGCUAACCUUGUGGGUGCUAUGUGCGUUAGCCCCUCUCUGAAGCAAUGCCUUCUUGGCGGUUCCGGAAAGACGAAGGGUUUGGAGGCCAUAGGAAUGUGUUUAGUGGGUCGAGGAGAGAGUAGUCCUGGCUUUUACUUUUGUUGUAGAAGACGGCCUUAAUCCCGCACUACCCGGACCUUCCUGCAGAUUUUCCCCCUAUGGUUUAGAAGGAAAAAAAACGAGUUCCGGCAUUUGGCUCUAGAAAAGGAACAUUGGUUUGUGCACUUCGAUCAACUUCUUCAAGUUUCGGCAUCCGACCAUCCAUCGACAUCGUGGCAUGAAUCGCCUAGGGUACGGCGCAUCAGCCGAGUCAAUCCUAUCCAUGCUGGCGAAUAAAUCAGCCAUCCGAAGCAUGAAGCCCAACAACAACAAGGCUCCCGGGGUUGAUCGCAUAUCAGCACAGAUACUCAAAGCUGACCCCAAGUUAACAGCGCAAAUGUUGCAUAAACUAUUCUGUAAUAUCUGGGACACCGUGACUUUCCCAGUUUACUGGAUGCAGGGUGUUUUAGUGAGGGUUCAUACUCCGUAUCAUCCUGGAGUAGGUCAACGAAUUUCAAGAGACCCUCUAUUUGGUAUUCACUGACUACGUCUGAACCACGAAAAUCAGUGGGCACCCUUAGCCUCAUGAGAAUCUGGUCGAAAACUUCAAUAUCUUGGCAAUCAGAUCGCGUCAGAUGGCGGUACCGAGAUCUACAUAGGAGCACUGAUUAAGAAGGCUAUGGCAGCUCAUCGCAGCAGAGGUAGACACUGGGGCUCGUGGCGACGAAGCCUUAACAAGGGAAUCAAGGAUGUCAAUAGGAAUCUGAUCUGGGCCCAGGUCGAGGGUAAAGCGAUCAACCGCCCAGGAUGGAGAUCUUUUACGUUGGCCGGGUUGGCCCUAUGUACUUUGUGAACCCCAGGAUACAUAAGUGAGUGAGUGAGUUGGUGAAAUUACUCACGCAAUCCCUUAAGUAAAUUUAGGCAAAUUUUCCAAGGGAAUUUCUUGCCACUGUUUUGAAAUUUCCUACAAACUUCAGCAAAGACUUUAUUUUAAAAUAGCGUUAGCAGCCUCAGAUGGGAUUUAUUACUAUAUUUGCUUGUUUUAUUUCUGGUGGGUUUCUAGACAUUUCUGAAGCAAUCUCUGGAUUAUUUCUUGGAAGUAUUUCCGAAAAAAGAAGUUCUUGGAGACUGACGUGUGCGCCGAAUCCCGACUAGAAAAUUUAAACAAAAAUAUAACAUAAUCCUAACAAACCAUAAUAUUUAUAACUGAUUGUGAUAUAAUUUUGUUCAACAUCCUUGAUGUUUUCAAAAUAGUAUAACUCAAAUAUAUCUCAUUUUGUUGCAUGGUAACUCAUUGUACUAUAAUUUAGUUUUAGUCUUCGAUUUUGGAAAUAAUGUUGCAAAAUUGUAUCAAAUUUUGAUUGAAACUAGUAAUCCUGAGGAUAAAAUUCAUAUCACAUUUUGCUAUAAAUAAUUUUGAUCUGAUAACAAAUUAAGUUAUUAUAUUGGCUAGACCAGUGAACUUUUUGUUUCAAUUUUUGUUUAUUUUAACAUCAUCCUGCAUCUAGUUUAUAACAUAAUAAGUUAUAGAGAAAUAUUAAAACAUCAUAUCACCAUAUGAUAAAAACUUGUUAUAAUUUUCUAGUCGGGAGCACAUUUCACCGGCGGCGACAUAUAAAGUAAUUUAAGUCAGCAACGCCGGCGUCAUAUUUUCUCAAAGUAUAAUGCAAAUGAAACUUUGGGGUGUGAUGUAUUUACGUUUUUUUGUCCGAAAUUAUUGCAGGAACUUCUAAAAUUUCUAAAAAUGCAGGAACUCCUUUUAUGAGUUCAGCAAGAAUUGCUUCAAAGAUACCUCCACGAAUUCCCUAAGAUUUUUUUUUUCAAGAAUUUUUUUCAGGAAGAAUCUCAGGGUCCAGGAGUUCUUCCAGGGUUUGCUUCGGAAUUUCCUCCAGUAAUCUCUCUAGAAAUUUAAUGAGAGAUUUAUUCAAGAAUUCCUCCAGUACCUUUGACUGAAAUUUCUGCACGAAUUGCUGUAGAUUUUUUUCAGGGAUUCCUUCAGGAAAUUCAAUUCUCUCCAGGGAGUUCUUUGGAAAUUCCUUCAGGGAACCCUGGAGGAAUUUCUCUAGUAUUCUCAAUAUAACUUCAUAAAAUAUUUCUGUAAAAACCUGAAAGAAUUUGAAGAGGAAUCUCCGAAGGAAUCUCAUGAGAUAUUUCUGAAGGAUCCGCAAGAGAAAUUCCAAAAAGAAACCUUCUAGGGACUUUUUUCAGUUACCGCUUAUGAAAUUUCCAUGGCAUUCCUGGUGGAACCGGAAAAAAAGCUGAAAUUAAAAAAUCUAGAUAAAAUUUUGAAAAACAUAUUCAAAAACAAUGUUUUGAAUUUUUCCUGUUUGUCAUUCAUGAAGAAAUCCUUAGACUAUACCGAAGGAGUAUCAGGAUAUAAUUCUGAGAAAGCAGUUAAUGAUGGAAUCCGUGGAGGAAUUUCUGAUUGAGUUAUUGGAAGAUUUUUUCAAAUAAAUCUUCUGUCUAAUUCCUGAAAUCCCUGAAAAUAUUCUUUGAAAAUCCCCAAAGAAAUAUUUGAAAUAAUUUUAGGAAAAUUCCUUAAGGAAUUCGAGAAGCAGUUACUGAAGAUAUUCCUGGAGGAAUACCUGGAAAAAGUCCUUGAUUAAAUUUUUAAAAGAAAUUAAAAUAAACAUUUGGAAAAAAUCCUGAAGAAACCCCUUACCAAAAUUAAUAGAGGAUAUUCUGAAACUAUUCCUGGAGGCAUUCAUGAACGUAGUUUUAAAGGAAUCCCUGGAAAAACACUUAAACUCAUGUAAAGACUCCGAGAAAAAACUUACAAGAAAUUUUCAAAGGAAUUUCUGAAGAAGUUUCUAGGAAUUGAAUAAUAAUUCUUCAAGCCUAUCUUCAAAAUAACGUUACGUGUGUCAUUGUGGGGCUUUUACACAAUGCGUUUUACUGAUUUCUUCUGGAUCACACAACAAAUAGUAUAACCCGAAAUAUUUUUGGGUGCGCUACUAUGAAACAUAGGAUGUGAAAACACUUUGCCAUGCCGUCAUUUUUUCGAUUUUUAAAGGUUUUAUAUUUUUUACAGUUCACUAGAUAUGGGAUGUAUUUGAUGCUGUUGGAUUUAUAUUUUUAUCGCAACCCAUUGAUAAAAUAUCCCUGUUUGAAGUUUAGUGCCAAAUUACGGCACGCACCCUGUAGAGAUAUAUGUGAAUCCCUGGAGAAAUUUUUGACGAAACCCCUGUGAAUUUACGCUUUUAAAAGAGAGGGGGGUUCAGCAAAGUGUGACAACCCCAUAAACAAAUUUCAGAGGUUCCAUACAAAACAUGUGCCAUUGGGAGAGUGGGGUUGAAAAUGGAUAAUUUUUGCGUGCCGGAAUCGAUGGACUUUCUAUAAUGAAUCAAUGGCACCGUUUAGGACAAAAUCCAUAGAAGGUUUGAUUUAGAAAUUCUUUAGAAAAUUUAAGGAGAAAAUAAAGGCAUUAUUUUUUUUUAUCUGUAUUAACAAGAUUUUUAGCCCUAGGCUAGUUCAUCUCAGGACCCACACUUUACUUCCCUUCCGAAGGAAGAACUCACAUUUUGCGAGUUUGUCGGGAGUGGGAUUCGAUCCCAGGUCCUCGGCGAGAUAGUCAAGUGUUCUAACCAGCACACCAGGUCCGCUCCCUUAAUUAAAAUUAUUUUUGAACCAAUAUUCGGAUAAUUUUUUUAAAAGAAAUACCUGGAGAAAUUUCUUAAAUAAUUUAACAGUUUUGACUUUAUAAGAAAAAAAAAAUCGCUGCAAGAAUGUCUGAAAUCCUUCUGAAAAAAAAAAAACCCCGGUGAAAUUUUCAAUCUUUGGAGUAAUUUCUCAAGCAGAGAAGGUUUCUUGAAGAAUUUCUGGUCAUUUCUGUAGGUUCUUCUAAAAGAAAUUCUGAAGGAAAUGCUGGCGGAAUUUCUGAAAAAAAUCAUGGUAAAUUUUUGAAAGGAAUCUUUAGAAAUCCCUAGCAUAAUUCAAAAAAAAUCGAUGCAUUAUAUUAAACAUUUAGUAGGAUUAUCAAUUGAAUCAUUCGUCAUCGGAUAGGCGAUUCACAGCCUUAAACAUGAGUAGGCUCACUAGAGUUUAAGCGGGAAUCUGCUGAGGGAAUUGUAAAGAAGUCACCAACCAACAAUAUCGACGGAAAUCCUCCAAGAAUGCCAUAUAGAAUUUCCAUAAAAAUCUCCCAAGAGAUAUGCACAGAAUAUGUAGGGGAAUGUCCUUGUGGAUCUUAUGAGAAGACCAUUAAGCCUUUGGUUGAUUAUCCCUUAAGAAUUAUAAAAGAAACUGUCUUAGCUCUUUUGAAAAAAAAAAAUAAACGAGGAUCUUCAAAGAAUUACAGUAGGAAAUCAUUAACCCUCUAAUACCUAAACCCGCCUUUAGACGGGGUAUAGUUUGAGCAUUUUUUAAAUUUUUGUUUCGUGGAAAAUCAUUUUUUUUAUAUUUUUGGCUGAUAUUUAGGACUGUUCUGUAUAUCUCAAAAUGAUUUUAGGUGUAUUUUAAAGCGUAUUUUCAUUUUUUAAAAAUCAUUGAAAAAUUUAUGUUUUGAUCACCUUUUAGAAGUCAUUGUUUAUUUUGUAUUGAAUCGCUACAAUUAACAUAUUUCAAUUUUUUCCCGAAUCAUUCUAUCCUUGUUUAAUAGUUUAAGGGAAUCGAAUACACUCUAAAAUCAUUUUCCUUAAAAUUACACGGAAAAUAAAAAAAUCUGUGAAAAAAAUUUAAAAUAAUAAUAUUUUAACAAUAAUUAUAAAAUCUCAAAAUGUUUUCAUCUCAAAAAAUCCGUUCCCCAAAUUGGCUUCCAGGAAAAAUAUAAAAGUGUGGGGAUGUUCAAAAAUAAAAAUUACAAAAAUUAAAAACUGAAAUUCACGAAAUCGAGAAUUAAAAAGAAUCAUCUUCCAGAACAUGUUCAAAUCGAUUUUAGAUGACGAAAAAUGAUAUUUAGAUCAAAAUAAAAAAUUUGGGUAUUAGAGGGUUAACAGAAAUCAUAAAAAAAUAUUGCAAAAGAUUCAGAAAAGAUUUCAGAAAACGUAAUUCAAACAUUAACAAGAAAAAUGUACAAAAUUCCACUAUUACUUCUAUUAGGUCUAAACAGGUGGUUCGUAAAGUGUAGGCGAGAAACAAAAAUCUUUGUCGGUUUCUCAUCGGCGUGAAAAAUAUUGUUCGGCGGCGUGGAAAUAUAUGAACAGUGGCACGCCGGAUCAACUUAGCUGGCGACAAAGGCGUGUUGUGGAAGUCUCUGAGAUUUUUUUUUUUUACUUUUUUGUGAAAUACCUUAUUAGGUCAAUUGAGAACAUAUGAAUACAUGAUUUUUGGAGAAAUGCUUGUAAUAAUAAUGACCUAUAUUGAAAAACAUAAUUAUUCAAAAAAAAAAAUAGCAAGAUCGUAUUUAAAUUUUUGGCAGAGUCUUUAUUUUUUUCGAUAAGGUCAUUUUAAUAUUUUUUUCGAUUUUUUUUUGAAGUAUUGCUAGAAGAUUCUGUCGAAAGUAUCUUGCCUAAUCUUUCAAUACUCAGCGAAAUUCUGAAGGAAACCUUUGCCAACACCGUUAAGAAGUUGAAAGAAAUUGUAGAUAAACAUUUUGGAAAAAAUAUUCCAUAAACUUCAGAAAAAAAAAUAUAAGCAUAUUUUUAAUAUUAUUAUUAUUGGCUCUUUUUUUAUCUGUAUUAACGAGAUUUUUAGCCCUAGGCUAGUUCAUCUCGGGACACACGCUUUACUUCCCUUCCGAAGGAAGAACUCACAUUUUGCGAGUUUGUCGGGAGUGGGAUUCGAUCCCAGGUCCUCGGCGUGAUAGUCAAGUGUUCUAACCAUCACACCAGGUCCGCUCCAUAUUAUUGGGUCUUUAUUAUGGGGAUUUUCAGCCCGAGGCUGGUUCAUCCCUGCAAAAUUUUUAAUAUCUGUUGUUCAAUUAUAUCGGUACAAGCAAUUUCGCAGAAACAAAGAUUAAGAUCAGAAAUCCAAAACACCUGUUGAAAGACCUGUAAAACAUAGCAUAUAUUAUUUUAUUAUUUUGGCUUCAGCAAACUGAGUUCAGACAUGCGAGCAACUGAUUAAAAAUGCGAGUAUAAAUGAAAUCAAUAUUUUCUAAAUUGUCUACACUUUGGAACUAUUUACAGUUCGGAAUAUUUUCGAAAAAUUAUCUGAGUUGGAAACAAUUUGUAAUAGGGGGAUUGUUCCUUCUGUUCAAUAGAAGUUCAGUAGUUUUUUGUUAGAAAUGAGCACGUUUGAUAACACAAAGAAGGGACUCAAUCAGUGCCGUAAUCGUUUUGUGCUCAAAAAGGCUGAAAAGUAGGCUUCGUCAGCGUUGGGACGUAAUGCCAAAAAGAGAGAGGUCAUUCCUAUGCUUUAAUCUUGCUAUCAAACAAAAACUAAAUUUGCUUCGCUAACAUUCCACACCCGUUCGUUUAGUCAGUAACUGAUUCAAAGGGCAAUCAGAUGCCCCUGCGAUCUACCUUCUCAAGGAUGGGUAGGGUACAGAUAAAGACUAUCGCAAGAUUCAUGAACUUUGGGGGAGGCAACUUUCCCUGUGGGGCCAGACCGCGCUCCAGCAAGAACGAAAACCAGUAAUUUUCAUUUCUUGCGCCGUCAUUCGCUACAUCCAUAGUAGUGAUUGCGGCCGCCCGUCCGUCGGUGGAUUUUCCAUUAUGCAAGAAAGAUUCUUCUGCUUCUAGACGGCCUUAUUCCUAUUCUUUCUAUUCAACCGUUUCUGGAGUUAGCCGACUGAAAGUGAGUUUGGUUCGCCAACCAACAUUCCUCUUUUGGAAUGGGCGUUGCAUUUCUUGUUCGGACUCCGGGCUCCAGACCACCUUACUCGAACGAACCUACCGACCGCCGGCCGCAGGUUGGACAUCUGAGUGGGCAGUCAGCGUAGCGGUUAAGAAAUUUAUAGACAUUUCUCGGCAGUUUGUUAGACACUCCUCCAGCGCAGCGCAGCCCCACAACAAUACUAACAACAAUCCGAAUGAGUCAAACGCAGUUUGCGCCGGCUGACUGCUAACUGGUGCUGGCUGCUGACCCAACCGGAACCACAAUUUUUACGCCACACAAUGGGCAGUUUUGUGUGAAAUUGGAUCGACCACCCUGCCUAGACAAACGCGCCGUACACCCAGUUUCCGCCGAUCAAGGUCAUUCCGGUUGAAUUGCAAAUGCCACGGGUCCGACGGCGACAUUCCGCGUUUGAAAGGUGUCCAAGCCUUAUUCGAAAUUCGUCGCACUCGCGCGGUCAGAAACAAGAGUAAAUGCUAACGAUCAUCUGUUUGCAGCUGAUUAGGGUUCCCUCCCCGGUGGAGGACGGUGAGACGGUGCGUGGAGCUAGUUCACAUACCACCAGAUAUCUUCCCAGCUAGUUUAACCACAUCCAUCACACCCUGGGUUGUACAGCUCAAGGUGAUGACCGACAGACCGAUCAGAAAUCAUAGAGCUGACUACGGAAAGAGAGGAAGCAGCAGAGGAAGUAACAAACUUGUUUCACUCUUCAAUGGCGUUUGAGUUGUUGUUUUUGGGUGUCUGUCUGUGUGUCAAAUUAACCCCGAAUUCGAACUCUCGGAACUAACCUAAUUUGGGGCUCUAGAGAGGCAUAGAGGUACGCAUCAAUUCGUUUUCUCUUGUGGCUCAUCACGCUUUCGAUGCAUUUUUCAUCACAGAUUAGUCGAUGGAAAUGAGGUACUGUGGAUGAUUUUCGAUGUGUGAUUUAAUGUCAAAUAUUCUUCAGAAAGUACUGGCAGGUUCCAAAAUUUUAGUCGGCUUACAAAUCCUAAAAUCGAUUCUUAAAGAUUUAAUUAAAAUUUUAUAACGAUGAAGUUGUCAACAUAUUUCAAAAGUUAUAGAUUGGACAACUUUCCAUAGAAGAACAUAAUGUUCGACUCCCGUUUCUGCUAUAAUAAAAAGCAUUCUCCAGCCAACCAACCCAUCUUGCGACGCGAGUUGGAAACAGAAACCCACUUCCAACAAAACCACGGCGCUAAGGUCACAAGUUCCACAAUCCAUCUUAUUCGCCGGUCACAAUUUAUAACACUUUUACUUCGUCAGCUGUGGCUAACAAACGUCCAAAUUGUGUGCACGCUGGGAGGCCUCCAAAUCUCCUUCUUGCACACUUUCCUUUCAAGAGCAAUGCCUAAUGCGAUGUUCCCACCACCAGACCAGAGCCCAUAGAGCGCCAUGCCAGCACCACACAGACGAACGCCGCACCGACCAUGGGCCAACAAUACGACACGGGUGCUGCUACUCGUCAGACUCAGCCCAGUCUGUCUAUUGCGAUUGUGUCGAAUCUGAAACGCCGUCGAACAAUCGUCAUAAUAACAGAACAGCGACGACGGUGUCGCAUAUUGCACACGUUUUGACCAGGUUUUUGGGGUUUGUUGUAUUAAAACGAACCGGUUGUGGUAGGCUUAACUCGCGCGGGUACUGCAACAGCAAGUUCGUUGGGCACAUUACUGACGGGUUCGACCCCAUUCCCCGGUGGGCUGACGCAAACGGAAUGCGCAUUCAGUCGGUUUCUGGAAAAACUGGUCCAACCAAAACGUUUAAAAUAAGUUGUACAUACUUUCCCAAUUUCUUCAUGUUCGAGCGCUAAAUUUCCCCGUCGUCCACACGUCCGUCCGAAAAAUCGUCUUGAUUGGCGGACCUACUCUCUACACUCCAGUUCGAAAAUUGCAGCUUUCCCUCGUUCGUUCGUACGAAUGCUCACCAACAAUUAAAACCUAGCAGGUAUAUCGACAAUGAGCAAACGAGUCUACGGCGAGACUAGCACACGAAGAUUCAUCGUUAAUCGACAAAAUCUCACAUCCCCAACGGCCGCGAUUAAUCUCCUAAUUUGCGCCUCAAGCCCCCAUAACAACUAACGAAUGCGGAGGGGCUCGUUUCGUCUCGUCCGAUAACUAGGUAGGAUCCACAUUUUUCAUUUUCAUCAAAUUUCCGUUACCCAGCGUUGAGCGCACGCGAGUUAAGCAGGUUUGAUGAAAAGUGUUGCGAGUGCAAAAGACGCGACGAUGACGGGCGGCACGUUCGUCGACAAGUGGUCAUCCCCACGUACGCCGCCAGCAGGGCCAGGGUUGAAAUUGUGCUGAGCGAAGCACGCAGGGGGACAACGAUGACGACGUCGACACACAGCAACCAGUAACAUUCAUCAGCAGAACAAUAACCUUCCGCAGCACCUGCCCCGUAGAGUAGAGCGCUGCUGGAUGAGCAAAACUCACGCAACCAACCGGCUAGCGAUUCAUAAUCGGACUCGCAUCGAAUCGGUUCUGCUGAUGGGCAUGGAAUAUGGACACGCUGAAGUAUGUUUUGAAAAUGACAAACAGCUGGAUAAGCUGAAUCCAGGCCCAUCAGUUUUUGACAAAGUUAUUGAACAUUUAUUGCUAUAUCAGUUGAUGUUCAAAUAACCAGCUUAGAACGUCCUGAACUCGAAAAGUUCAGAAGGAGCGGUAAUCCCUAUGAGUCCAUUACUUUCCUAAUUGUAAUUAUAUUGUAGACUUUACGGAUUCUGAAAGCUUUGGCUCACAAAACAAUAGAAAAGGUUAAUGAUAUUAUUUUUAACCGUGCUAUAGGUCAUCCAAACUGUUCUAGAGUUAAGAAUAUAAGGACAACCGUUCUAAUAAAAUCGUAAACCGGGGUCAAAUUGAUCACUUUAAAACAACUUUUGCUGAUAACGGGAGCACCAAUUCAAUUCAGUUGUCAAAAGAAUUUCUGAUAAAACAGGACUAGGUGGACCUCUAUAAAACUAUGUCAAACAAUUUUGAUUCAACAAAUGUUAUCAUAAAGUUCAAUGACUUCAAACCCACAUAAAUGAAAAUAUCACAUUGAUGUGAAAAUGAUCAGCAUACAAUUAAACAUCAGUUAAAAUUUAAAACUGUCUUUUCCACUUAAUUUUGACCUUCUGUACACGAAUAAAGCGUCAAAAAUCUUACAACUUGUAAAUUAGGCAGUUAAAAAGCUAAAUUAACUUUUGAAAUUGACACGUAAACGCCUGAAUGUAGGCAAUUUCCUAUGAAAAAAGCGAGUUCAGCCACAUUAAAUUAACUUUUAAAGUAAUAUCUAACAGUUGAACAACUGAUUCUUAUCCAGAAUUACAUCAUAAGAGUUUAUAAAAAUAUUAACACAGAAACUCCAUAGUUGAUACUAGUGGCAAUCAGUUGUUUAGUACCAACGGUUUUAUCUAAGUAAGAAACACAUUGAAAAACAUAAAAAAAAUAAUGUAAAACUAACUUUUUCUAAAAAUUGAACAGUCCAAACUCAUCUCUAGGCAUCCAUAACUGAAUGAAGAACUUAAUGAUCAUAACGUCGUAUAGAAGUUGCUAGACCUAGAGUGGAAUUACAAUCUAGUCCCCGAUUGAUCAAUUUCACCCCGCUGAACAAUUUGAUCCCGGUUUAUGGUACCUUUUAGGGCCCCUACAGCCACAGCUGUAAAAGCGUGGAUAUUCAGCAUGGACUUGCUGAGGGUGACGAUCUCGAUUUCCGGUUGGUUCAGGAACUUUUCAUGAAGGAGCAUAGAACAUAAGGUAUGCAAAAUGAUCAUUGCCAGAGAAAGCUCUCAGUUAAUAACUGUGAAAGUGCUUAUGGAACGCUGAUAGCUGAACAGCAGGCUCUGUCCCAGUUGGGACGUUACGCCAAGAAGAAGAAGAAGAAGAAGAAGAAGAAGGUACUUUACCUUUUUCAUCCAACAAACCUACGAUUUGUAUAUUAUAAUCUUUUAUGCAUCAUCUGCAAUAAAAUAACGACUGCAAAUUCCAAGGCAUCAGACCAAUUCGGACAACGAUUAUCUACAAGACAUGCAAACCGUUCCCCAAAAACUAAUAUGAAAAUGUUAACAAUCUUGUAUUAAAAUCGGAAUGGUAAACCGGAGGGGGGGGGGGGGGGGGGAGGUGGUGUCUUCUCCUAGGAUUCGAAAUUGUUGGACAAAACACAAGCUAUGUAAGCAACCGAAACUGCAAACAAAAGCAACCUGCCAGAAGAAAAUACGAUAGUAGGAUAGACUGAUGGAUCAAGAACAAUUACAAAACCUCGCCAUCCUUGGUUCAAUCAUCGUUAUUCAAAUAAACUUGGCACAAUAUGUGUGUUGUAUAUUGUUAGUUAAUGAUGUUUUUUGCGCAUUUGUAGGGUUACGUUCGUUUUAUUCGUAGUUUAGCGCCCAACGUGGAGCACCUCAUGCAUUUGUGCUGUUCUCCUUAACUGUUUUCUGUAAUUGUCGCUCAACCGGGGGACCUAAUCAAGGGCACCAGCUCAAUUUUCGAAAAAUCUGGAUGAUUUAGGAAGUUUGUCUGGAAAAGUCCGGAUCAUGUGAAAAACCUUACAAAUUUCGAUCAAAAGUUUACAAAUUCCGAGAAAAAACCUUACAAAUCCCGAAAACAAAUAUCCGGAUCUUUCAGACUUUAGUAAAUUUUGUAAAGAUCUCAAAAAGCUGUAUAAAUCCAGCUAAAUCUAGAAGGUUGGCAACGCUGAACCCAUUACGAUUUAUAAAAUAAAACAUUUGAAGACUAUUUCGUCCCCUGCUUCAAUCAAGCAAAGUAAUUACAUAAAUUUAUGAUAUUUUUUAUGAGAACAUAGAUUUUCAAGUCGUUUUAUGACCACCCAAAACGUAAACAUUUUUGUUUUCAAAUUAAAUUAUUAAAAUGCUUACUAGUAGCUUCUGUUUAUUCAAUUUGAAUGUAAAAUACGGAUGGAUAUAAAAAAAUCGAACACUAUGCCGUUUUUUUUAGAAAAUUUGAAUUUCUAAUAAGGUAAGAUGGGUCACCUUAUAAGAAAUUCAAAUUUUCGCUCUGCACUUUUUUCGGAGCGAAAUUGAUCGUUUCUGAAAACUGAUUGUUUAAAUUUAUGUAUAGUUUUUUAUGAACCUUUUAUAAACUUUAAGAAUGGUUAAUAUAUUCAAGAGUGAAGGGUGAAUACAAAUUCGAUUUGUAUUAACAAACUUAUGAUGAUCAAUCCUUAGGAUGACUCAUCUUGCACCGUCCCACUCUAUCUUCCCAACUAAUAUUUUUGCUGUUCAAAAGUUUAACAAAUCACUUUUUCUCAAGCGAGCUCCAUAAGUUUGUACUCAGCUAUUUUUCUCCAGAAAUUUCAUUUUUUUUUUCAGGGAUUCCUUUAAGUAUUUCUCCACUGAUUAAUCUGAUUCCUGUAGAGAUUCCUGCAAGGAUCUCUCUAGAUCUAGGCUUUUCUUCAAGGGUUUCACCAGGGAUUUACCGAGAUAUUCGUGUAGAGAUAUCUCAAGGAAUUUCUCUAGGGAUUUUUGUAGGGAUAUCUCCGGGGAUUCCUCUAAGAUUUUCAUUUGGGAAUGAGAACUUCGUUUCCUCUUGAAGAGGGUGUAUGUAAUAAACACAGAAAUGUUGGAUAUAAGUAGGGCAUUAUUUAAUCGUUUGAUUGUGUUUGGUUCCUGUGUUACGGAUAUAAAUAUUUGUUACAAUUAUAAGACAGAAUAAUUGUUUGAUGUGUUAUAAGUUUAUUAUUCAUGCGUUCUUUGUGUUGUAUGAUUUAUUUUAACUUGUAUAUAUUCCCAUUAAUUUAAUGCACAUUUAUAGGGUUCUGCAAAAAUAGAGGCCCAUGAAAUGCAAUUCCACUUUGAUUACCAACUUUCAGGCCAUUUCGGGCAGCAGACAAGUACUAGAGAUGUAAACCUUUCCCUGUCACGGACUUCAAGUUAUUGAGCUCCAGUAUCGAACCCCGAUUAUGAUAAGUUUUCCUAGACAAAAACGAGCUAUGAAAGCAGAAACAAUGACUGACAACUAAAAUGCGAAAUAUCGUUCAAAACACCAAGUCCAGGAUGACUGAUGGACCCAAACCAAUUAAUGAAACCUCGUCAUCCUGUGAUCGGAAGAUGUUAUCAAUCUGGAUAACUGGGCGGGCACAUUUAUGUUUUGUGUUGUGUUGUGUCAAUUAGCAAUGUCUCUUGUAUGUGCGUUUGUUAGAUUCUAUGUGUCGUGAUAUGUUAAUCCUUUGUAAUAAUUAAAUUUCUUUUAUUUUUGUAACACCUAAGCAGAAACCUACGGGAAUUUCUUUUAGGACAAACGUCUUGAAAUCCCGCUUCAACAGUGUAACCAGAACUUCAGGCGCACAAAUCUCAAGAAGCUCCUGCUCACUUGUAAAAAGCUUAAAAUAAAAAGAUCAGGUGCGCUUGUUUUGGUGGUUUUGUUUACGAAGAGAUGUGUGUGCCUAAAAUCGUGAGUAGGUACCAAAGUCUGCCAUUGUAGUGGUUAUUUUGGGAUUCUAAAGGUUUAUCCAGAAAUACCUGCAUGGAUUUCUGCGGGAUUUUUUUCAAGAAGACCACAAAGGAAACAUGACUCACAAUCGUUCUGGUUCUGAAGACUCGGUUCUCUGAUCCGUUAAAAAUUACAAAAAUCACUGAUCAUGCUAGAAUCGAGAAUUCAGUAUGAUAAUGAUUGCCAGUUCUAAUAUCCUGGGGAAGGAUUGACUGAUUGAUGACUACGAAGAUGAAAAUUUCUCCGAAUAUUAAGAACCUCAGUCGAUGAGCGUUAUGAUUUCGUCUGGGAUUCUUCUAGAAUUUUAGAUAUUGAAAUAUUUAUAGUAUAUUAAUUCCUCUAGAGGUGUCUCCGGAAAUGCAUCCAAGAAUCUCUUAAGGUAAUUGUCCAAGAAUUUGUUUAUGUUCAUGAAUUUCUCCGUGGGUAUAUUUAGUAAAUAGACCAGGGAUUUAUUUAGUGAUUUAUUUAUGAGUUUCUCUAGCGGUUCCACUUCCUCCCGAGGUUUCUCCAGGAAUAUUGUUAAGAAUUCUUUUGAGGAUUUUAACGGGAAUUGUUCUAGGGAUUUUUUUUUAAAGAAAUCCUUUUUGAUUUCCUCUAGCAUGACUUCUUUAAGUUUUUUUUUCGAGGAUUUAUCCAAAAAUCUAUGGAUACCACCGAGAAUUUCGUGAAUCUCAGAUACUGGCGUUGUGUGAAGAACUAUCAAAUGUUAAAAUUCACGAAAACAAAUAUCUAAAAAUGUGACUCACGUUAGCGCUUUCAGUAUUAUAUAUGCGACAUAGACAAACGACAUGGGAUGUUUUUCGCUUGGAACACUUGAGCACGAGAAGGAAACUUAUGUUAAUUCUUAUAUUCGAUGCUGGAGAGUCAACCAUGAUUUAAGAAGAAAUCCAGCAACAACUCUUUCAGGUAUUCGCGAUGAAUGCUAGAAGAAGUCUACAAAUACUCUCGAUAUAAAUUUGAUCAUGUCUAUAAAAACUAUACAUAAGACACAUUCCACGCGUUACGUUUUGCGCGAGAAUCAAACUUUUGCUUCCAAAAAUGGUUAUGUUGUUAAAUACAUGCCAACCAGUAUAUCAAACGAUCAGAUUUGAUUAGAAGAUUCAUUUAAUGCUUUGCAAAUGUGAAUUGGAACUUUUUACUUCAAGAAACACCAAAAAAAAAGAGCGUAACGGGACACCAUCGCAAAAAACGGUAAAUUUUGACUUAACGACAAGAAAUUUGCUACUUUCUCGGAACAUUUAUCAAAGUUUCAAUUGCUACAAGAAAAAUAGAAGUAAUAAUCUUUAUUUUGGUGCAAAAAGAUUAAAAAUCGAUAGCUGUAGCACUAAAAUAUCGUUCAACGAAGUUCAAAAAGCACGGUGUAGAAGUGCGUGGAAUGUGGCAUAAGCGUAUAUCUCGGGAACUGAAUGUCGUAUGAAGCUGAAAUUUUGACAUUUUGUCAAUCUAACACUGAUUAACAAUCGGUAAAAAUUUCUGCUUGGUACAUCAUUCCGUUUGCCAGAUAUAUGUUUGGGAAGCUUCAGAUCCUGACUCCGGAUAAUCGAGUCCGACGCAGUACGACACCACAGUAAUCCACCAGAAAAUGUCACUGAUUUGGCAAGAUUUUAGUCUAAAUCUGUUCGGAUAUCGCAAGAAAGAAAAUAUUCCAAGUCUGACAACUCUACUAACUUGCACUAUGCUCCGAUAAGUAUUGAAGAAAUGUUAAGAUCACAAUCAUAGAGUUGUGAAGGAACAGUUUUAAAUGACGAAUGUUUGCUUUGAAUUGAUGUCUUUGAAGAAAUUAGAUAAAUUUCGAAGCGAUUUGUUGGGAAUCAUUCAAACGUAUUCCUUAACGACAUGAGAAGAUCUGUGAUUAAGAUUGUUUUGAGGCCUCUUGCUUAGACGGGCUAGAUGAUCUAGUGGCUGCCGCUUCUGAUAUGCAGAAGUUCAUCGUACCAUUCCUUCUACUUUGUUUAUUUCAAUCUACUUUCUCGCUCUGCUUUACAUACAUAUACAGUCGGGUCUCCUAUUAGACGCUGCCACCCACUUUACGCCCACCGCUUUUUCCAGGCUGUCUUCUAACCAAUUUAGUUCAUUUUUUGUAUGUGACCCCGGGUAGACGUGAAUAUCAUAAUCAUAUCUUGAAACGAUCAAAUUUUUAUGUCAUAUCCUAAUAUGAUAUUGAUGAGAUAUUCAAAAAGUUGCCAAAUAUCUACUCAAUAUCUCAUCGUGAUAUGAUUUCAAAAUUAGUACUUAAUUUGAUUUUUGGAAAGCCUAGUGCAACGCUUCAGGAGAUAGGGGUUCAAUAAAUUCCGUAACGCUCCAGGGGAAUAGGGAAUACAGCCUAGCGUUACGACCCAUACAAAAAAGUUGGAGUUAUCAUACAAAAGCACAUUAUGGAUUCCGCCAGUUCCUAAUGAACCAACCAACGAGUUUAAAGAUAUCGAAUUUAACGUUACACAAUGAAUAGAUGUUCCCUUAUGUACACAACAAAUUUUACAAACGAGCACUAGGACAAAAAGGAAGUAGAAGUGGCUUUCAUUUUCAAUAAGCGGGUUUAUGGAUGCGGCAAUUGAUAAAAAAAAACAGAGUAUGUGCCGAUUACUCUGCUUAUAAUCGAUAUUUGCUUUUCUUUAAAAAAGGCAUAAAAAUAUAUACUGAUUUAAUCUGAUACAUUUCUUAAUUAUUUCUUAAUUUCUUGAUUAUUUUAUUUCACUGUGAGUAAACCAGCAGAGCCUUUCCAAUUGAGUCCGAUGACAACAUGAGCUGGAUCUCGAUGUCGAGCUUGCAUUUGUGGUACGAAUCCAAUAAAUGAAUCACCGGACAAUUUGGGAACUUUAUCGGCCCGCUAAGCGAAAUACGUCCAUUUCGAAAAACGGAUCGUUUAAUUCUAGAUUCAACAAAACAUAUCGCUGCAGAAGACAAGCUUUUUGAGUUUCAACCAACGAAUUGCGUAGCGAUUCUGCAUGGAGUAUACGAACAGACGAUAGUCGUGACGACUACGAUCUUCUAAAUGUUUCCAAAGCUUUUCUGGGCGACAGUUCACAAUAGAGCACGUUCAGUGAAGUACAUACUAGAUUCACCUUCUCACCAUACAAAAAUUCAGCUCAUUACUACAAUCUAGUACUUCACUGAUUGCGUCCUAUUGGUGGAAAUUCGUCCUGUUUUAGGCGCAAAAUAAACCAAACAUGUUUCUACGCAUGUCGUUUUUAAAGUUUGGAUCACCAGCUUUGUUAACAAUUCAGAGAAAGAGCAUGAUAUGUGAAAUCAUCUAGAGAAAAGUGCUCUCUUAGUUUAGGAAAAUAUGCAAAAUAGCCUUAAUUCAUUUUUAUUUUCCAUACCAUCACGUCAGUUUACAAAUUUUGGGUGGAAACUGUAUUAAUAUUCUGCAAUAGAACAUUUAUCAUUAAGAAAUCUGAAAAAUACUGCUCAAGAUCAAAAUUAGCUCUUCACAUUUCCAUCUGCAACAUGCAGAAUUCGAAAGAUCUGAAAAUUACUGCUCAAGAUCAAAAUCAGUUCUUUGACACAUUCAUCUAUAAAUCCGAAAAUUGUAAGAUCUGAAAACUACUAUUCAAGAUCAUAAUUAGUUCUUUCACACACUCAUCUACAACAUGGCGGGACCAAACCAAUACAACUACCAUGACUCGCAAAGACCUUGGAAAACGUAGAACUUGAUGCUCUUGUUACCUUCUAUUUUCAGAUAUGAGUCGUAGUGCAGUGGUAAUGUCACUGCUCAUAAAUCAUAAGGUCAUAAGUUCGAUUCUGGUCGCGGCAAUUUUUCUUUUUUUUUACUCUAAUCCAUCUGUCAGAUCAUUUUAUGAUAUUGGUUAGAUGUGCUACAACCCAGAUCUCCCCAGAUAUUAGUCUGAUCUUAUAACAUCAAAAUGAGAUAUUAUUAUGUUCUUCCCCAUACUAAUUUUUGAUCUUAUUGUUGAUCUUUUAUCUCUUAUGUCAAACAAACCAAUAGCUAAUUAUGAUCUUGAGUACUUCACUGAGGAAUAUCAAAUGAUGAUAUUGUUCUGAUUUUUACUUCUACUCGGGAUGUGCCUGCACUAAAAAAAAUGAGCUGGUUUGGAUACAAGACAGCUGAGAAAUUGCGGUGGGCGUAAAGUGGGUGGCAGCGUUCAAUAGGAGACUCGACUGUACAUCUAAUGUAUAUUCGCAUGUUUGUAGCCAUCGCUAGAACCGGAAACGGAUUGGAUAAAGGCCGUUUCUCUUCCUUCUAGCUUUCUCCGCACAGCACAGUGGUUCCGCCAUAGGUCAUUAAUCCAAAAAAUUGGUCUCAAUGAAACUGUGAUAUCAUUGCGGUAUCAUACAGUUUUAUGCUUUAAUAACUAGGGUCAAUCAUUACUUUUAUCAAAUGUAUGCCGAAACUUUCCCGCAGAGCUCAUAAAAGUAGAUGUUCUUGAAUAGACAUUUUAUUUAAUAUUUUUCUAUUGAAAAGCCUCAUCCAUUCGACAUGUAUUUGGUUGAUUGUGUUCGAUUCUUACAUAGUUGAAAUCGAUGUUUUUUUCACAAAUUUAGAUGCCUUUCUUUGUAUUUUUUUUUUGAAUAAGUGUAACUGAAUUAGAUGCUUUUUCCAAAAAAAAUAAAAACUGAAAAUUUCCAACAAGCCAGAAAAAAAUGUUUCCCCAUCCGAGCCCUUCGGACAUUCUUCUAUAAAAUUUCACUAUAAUCUCAAACAAUGUUUUACUUGCGAAUUUAGCUGCGACCAUUUGCGACCCGAUUGGUAGUCACUUAAGUGUCGUACCUUCAAUAUACUCAAAAAACUAGCAAAUACCCAUUGAAGGGAAUACUUUUUCCCAACUUUUACCCUCUCUAUCCAUCACAUUAUGUGUGUUUCACUAUUUUUGAGCAGUUUUGACUACCGUGGGCCACCUAAACUAAUAUUAGUAUGUAUAUCCAAAUCAGUUGGUAACUGAAACUGCAAAAUAAUGAAUUUCGGCUCCGUAAAGCCAAGAACUCGAUUGAGCUUAUUUUUAAUAAAACAAUACAAAAACGCAAUUGAAUUGCACAUAUGCAUCAAAUUUAGCGGUUUCACCAUAAAACUCGAGAAAAUCAUAUUUAUGGCCGCCCUUAUAUGGAGCUGGAGCCAGUGUGCACAGUGACAAUCUAUUAUAUAACGUCUACAAGUUAUACAACCAAGCGAAUUAUGCCACAUCAUCAGUAAUCUUCCUAAAAUCGGUCACUUAACACCUGGCAUCCAUGUACCAAUGCGUGAACCCCGUGCCAAAAAAAAGCCAUUUCGUAAUUACUCUCCGACAUCCGCAUGACCUUGUGCAAGCGCAGAACUCAACGGCCUUCCCUACAUUGACCUGCAAUCCGACAUAGCAGACGCCAUUCGAUUUAAGGUGAAUAUAGAACGAAGCCACACCUUACAUUUUCAAAAGCACAAAUCUGAAGAACCAAAUAUCGCACUAUGCUGAAAAGUUGAUCGAUUGGUCACCCACUAGUGACUAAUCGAUCAACUUUUCAAUGUAAUCCAUCAUUCGAUUCCUAAGAUUUGUGCUCUUGAAAAUUCGAGGAGAGGCUUCGUUAUACCUUCACCUUAAAAAGAAGAUUAUCAACGCUCACACACUGAAGAUAUCAGUUAGUCCCAAGCAGUUAUCACAUUGGUUCUUAGUGUGAGUGUAGCUGAUCUGGCAAUACUGAAGUAGCAACUACGGGCUGUCAAUCAACCUCAAGCUAGAUGGGCCUUCUGCUGAAUUAUGGGUCCGAAAGUGGGUGGUACCGUGUUAUAUGUUCCCUGAUUGUAUUUUCUCACAAACAAUAAGCCAAUGUACAUAAGAAGGAGAGGAUAAUGUACAAUCACGACCUAGAAAGAAAAUCAUUAAACAGCUCACGACUCAAGUACAACAUACACAUUAUAACAGAUAACUUCUUGGCAUCCCAACAAUCGCACUUUCAAACUAAUAAAGAUACGAAACGUCCACCCAGGGGGCGCACAUGAAAAUCUAAAAUAUUAUGAUCCAACUAAAACUACAAAUAUCAAUCAUCCUCCAAGCGAUGCGAUGUCUGUCAUAAAAUGUUAAACAUUUUACGGUCACCACCAUAAAUCAACCGGAGCCUUUCUACACGGUUGGUGCACGUUCGUUCAUAAACCAAAAUUGAACCCAAAGGCGCGCCCCGGCAUCAGCCCAGACUCGAAACGGGUCUCCCAAACUGCGUGGUGACCAUUUCGCUCUCGAAGUUAUUGAUCCCGACUGCCUGCUCAGUGCCCGACCCGGCUUGGCCGGGCCGCGAGACUGACUGGAAUGGUCGGUAGGUAGAUAGACCGGCUUCGAUGCGGAGAACCGGUUCCGAAAAAUUUUGCGACAACCAGCUGAAAGUCUAGUACUAUGAGCGAGGUAGGUACGAUAGGACAGGCCCGGUUUGACACGAUUCAGCAUUCAGCUAUCGGUCGAACUCCGAACCUCGAACCGAGCCGAUUGGCUGCAUCGAAAAACGAUAACGAUCUUCGCGCGAUCAUUAGCUAUUCCCUGCGCCGGUUCACGCCGAAUGGAGUCGGGGUGGUGACCCGGGUAAAAAUUAUGGGUUAAUAUUCUACACGAUCAUCUUAGUUUGAAUUUCAUCGGCAUUUUAUUCUUUCUGGAGUUACGUCUUAAGCGAGAUAGAGCCUGCUCUCCAUGUUAGUGUACUUUGAGCACUUCCACAGUUAUUAACCGAAAGCUUUUUUUCGCCAAUGACCAUUUUACAUCAGGCCAAACAUGUCUAAAGGUCCUAUCUGCAGAAGAGCGGCUCUCUUUGGUUUCCCUUUCUUUCGUUAAUAUCUCAGCUGUUUAUUUGUAUUAUGAUUGUCUCCUUGCAUUGAACGAUGGUCAAAACAAUCGUCUUUUGAUUUGUAUUGCAAAAAUAGUUGAAAAGUGUUCCAUUACAUUGCAAUUAUUGAAAGAGAAAGUGAACAAAGAGAGCCUCUCAAAUGCAGAUAGGACCUAUUGAAAUGUUUGGCCUGACAUGUGUACGUAUGGCGGGCAUGAAGAUACUCUAUGCCUAAGGGGGCUUACACACCAGUCAAACGGUUGGUCAAACCUGGCCGCACGGUCGAAAAACUCGCUCAAACUUGUGCUAUGUUUGAUUGUUUGUGAUAAACAUUGCGUCAAUCAGAGCGACCUGUUGUUUGGCCACACGAUGUUUGAUCAACCGUUUGACUUGUGUGUAGGCCCUAAGAAAAUCACUAAGUAACACAUGAUGAUUUGUUCUUCCCCAAUACUUUCCUACUCGGGUAACCAUUGAUGACGCGGUGCAUUCGCGAUAGAAAGAGUCAUUCUGUUCGGCGGGUAGGUAGGUAUGAAAAAUUGUCUACACGAGCUCCACGAUCAAUGGAAAUUGUGUAGAAGACUGCACACAAAUAAAAGUUAAUCGCAUUAAUACAUCUUCCUCGCCGCCCAGGCCCACCCGUGGACCCCUCGUUGGGGAGCCAAACACUCCCGUGAGGAGAACGUAGGCACAAAACCAGCGAAUCCGAAAUGCAACUUUCGUGUUGUUAUGUGGCAGCGCAGCCUACGAAGAACCUGGCGCAAAGUCGAAAGGAGUCAUCGAAACAAAACAAAAAAGCAAAAGCACAACCAAAUAUCAGUCUCCGAAAAAGGGGUGCCCCUUUGAAACAGCAGUGCUGAAAUGCACCGACUUCGACUGACUGAAUGGCUGGGUGCGAUUUGCGAAUCACGACCCCCAGAGGUACCUUCAAGCGGAGUGGCGGCGCGGGUCUUGAUUCGCAGAAUCGCAGAAUGGAGAAGGUCCUCCUGCGCUUACGGUUUUAACGAAGGAUUGCAUUGCGGGAAAAUAGCGCUCGCUGACAUGGCAAUAUUUUGGAGCAUUUGUUUUCUUGGCAAUGUUCGACUGGUGUGUCGCGCAAGAUUAACCUUUCAGCAGGGAUGGCAUUCCGCACUGAAAUUGUGCACAGUGCUGCAAACCGCUCACACUUGCACUCACACUGAGGAGCAUGCCAUCCCUGCCUCUCAGGAAUUCGUGGAGGGAUUCCUCUUCAAGGGUGUUCUGCUGGUGUUCUUUAAGGAAUUCCUCCAGGAAUUCUUCCGGGAAUUUUGAUAAGAAUCUCUUCAGGUUUGUCCUUACGAAGUUUUCCUAGCAUUCGUCCUGUGAUACCUCUAGAAGUUUUUCUUGGAAUUUCUUCAAAACUCCUGCUGGGAAACCUCCAGAAAAUCUUGCUGAUGUUCCCGCAGGACUUUUUCCAGUAAUUUCUACAAGAACUUCUUUAGUAAUUUAAGAAUUUUCUCUUAGGAUUCCUUCAAGAAUUUAUGCUGAGAUUCUUCCAGCAUUCUACCGAGAAUUCGUUAAGGGAUUACUCUGGGGAUCUCUCUAAGGAUUUCUGAGGAAAAAUAUAUGGAUCAAUAUUUUCCCAGAAAUUACUCAAACAAUUUAUCCAGGAAUUCCUCAGGUGAUUUCUCCAGGAUUUCUUUAUAGAUUUCUCUAUAGGGCGUCUUCCACGACUUUCCUGGUGAUUCCUCUUAGGUGUAAUCCAGAAUUAUCUGGUGCUACUCCUACAGGAAUAUUUCUUGUGGCAUUGUUUUAAGAAUUUCAUUUGUGAUUUCUCGAGCCAUUUCUACUGAGAUUCCUUCAAGAAUUGCUCCCGAUAUCCCCCAGAAUUUUUCGUGGAUUUCUCCAUGAAUUACAUCCGAAAUCCUAACAGCGUUUCCUUCACAUAUUUCAAUGAGAUUUCCUUCAAGAUUUUUCUAGAAAUUACUCCAGGAUUUUUUCCAGGAAUUCAUCUAGAAUGCCUCUAGGGACUUUUCCGGAGAUUGUAAUAGGGAUUCUUUCAGAAAUUACUAAAGGGAUUUAUACGGGAACUCCUCAAGACGUUUCUACAGAAAUUCCUUCAGGAGUUCCUGAGGGGCGCGUCCUGUAAUUACUCGGAUAAUUUCUUUAGGAUUUUUCCAGGGAUUCCUUCAGAAAUUUUACCUGGAAUUUCACCAAGGACUUCUCCAGUGAUUCCUCAUAAAAAAAUUCAUAGAGGUUUUUCAAGGAAUUCGUUCACAGAUUCCAGGAAUUCCUCUCUUAAGUGAGAGGCCCAGAUGCCAGAUACAAAGGUUUGUAAGAGACCAUUUUGUCGCUUUGUAGUUGAGCAUAUAAAAAAAUUCUUCCCGAUUUUAUCAGCCCAAAUUUUACGUAUGACCCAGGUGGGUUUCGGCAAUUUUAUUUACCGAACACAUGAAGUCAGUAUAACUGUUUAAUAAGUAGGAUUAGCUAGGAUCUUGUAUCUUGUGUAAAGGCUGUUUAUAUUUAGGAUAUAGACUUUCAAAUACAGCACUUUUGCUAUUGGACUUAUAAAUCACGCAUUUCUCUACAAUUUUACGUUAUUUUAAGAAAAAUCAGAACUCUAGAAAUAAAAACUUUUCAGGAAAAAAAGCCUUGAUUUUUCGAAGCUUUGAGUUUCGGAGGAAAUUACGCCUGAACUUCAGAAGAAAAUGGCCAAAUAAAUAUCAUUGGAAAACAAGCUUCAAGAUGUCGUUUGAAAAAUGUUCAAAAAUUAUAUAGCGAACCCCUUUAAGAGUUUUGGUAGUUGUAGCAGAUUUUGCCAAAAAAUAAUGUUGACGAUUUUACUGUUUAAUUCAGUAAUUUCACGGGUUUAAAAAAAACACAGAUUUCCACGAGAAAUGUUAACAAAAGAUUAUUCUAAGGAAAUCUGUCUAAAAUUACUACAAGUUUUUUUUUAGAAACUUAAAGUUGCCGCAGUUCUACAGAAAAAAAUACGGGAAUUAUUAUAACUAUUAUUAUAAUUUUAAUUACUAUAAUUAAAAUUAUUUCAGAAAUACUUGACUGAACAGGCUACAUGAAAAGUAUAGAAUAUGUCCUCAUAUUUCAUUGGAUGUUCCUCUGGAAAUUAUUCAAGAAGUUUUAUGGAAAAUUUCAGAAGCUCAUCCAAGGAUUUCUUAAAAAAAAAUUUUGGAAAUUUUUGGAAAUUUGUCAGGUCAUUUUUCUUUUUAGCAUUCUUCCAAUACUAUUUCAGAGGUUUGCGUAGAAAAUCUAACAUACACUACCCGUCACAAGUAUAGACUCACAAAACGUAUUUCCUAACAGUUUUUUUUAGGAAUUUUAUAAAAAUGAUGUUUAGAUUGCGAAAUGCAACCUAACUAAACUAUCAUAGCACAAAAAACAUCUCAUAAUAAUUCAGAUUCAUCCACCUUCAUUCAUAUCCCUGAAAGGAUUUCACCAGAGUGCAGGAAUUUCUCCAACGAAUUCCUAAAAUAAUUAUUCCCAAUUCCGAGAUUAUGGCAUUUGGUGAAUUUAUUGAGUAAUGCUUUUGGAGAUACUAUCACGAGUAGUCGAGAUAAUUUGAUAAUUUCCAAUAGAAAUGAGACAUUCUUCAAAAGAUUCGACAGCUAUCGAAGUCAAACCUCUUUUUAUUUCAUGUAUUAUCGGAUAUUAUUUCCGAGCGUUUUUGUCAGCAAUUCUUCUAAAAGAAUCAAGAAAUCACUUCAGAGUAUUUUCCUUACAACAACGGAAGAAGCAGCUACCACUGUUGUAGAUCCUACGCCGAGAAUUCCAUUU